UAAUGUUAAUUUAAACAAAUUCUUCAUUGAAGCUGUAGCUCUGAUUUGUGAUGCAAAGCUUAAAGCAGCUGAUAUACAGUAUCCUUUACAAAUUUGUUCUUUGCUCCAUCAGUGGUAUAAAGAAUUUUCUCCUAGUCUUGUUCUAGGUCUCUUAAAAGUUUCCAUGCUGGGGAAAUCUGUGGAGGAUCUCGAUGGAGACAAAUACUCAGGCACAAAGAAGCAGAGUACCUUGAAGCUUCUUUUGGAGUUUUACUCUGUUGGGGUUGUAGAAGAUACUGGUAUAUUUGUGGAAAUACCAGAAUUGUUGGUGUAUGUGAGACGUGGUGAUGGAGAUAAAGUAGACUCGAGGACGAGUCUUUUUCAAGAAGGGGAGUAUGAUGCAGUUAUAGAAGACAAGUCUUGGAGGCUAAGAAAAGUAUAUUUUUGGUUUUAUUUAUUUCAUAGUUAAUAGAAUUAGGAGAUGGAAAAAAUAUUAGUUAUUUUUGCUUAUUAUCUUUUUAGUUAUUUUCUUUACAUAAGUUUAGGAUUUCUUAGUUAUUUUCUUUCCAUAAGUUUAGGAAUUUUCUUUGCCUAUAUAAAGGCUUCAUUGUUUGAUCUUAAAAGACAGACUUUGAUUAUAUAUUUUGACAUUGUAUACUCUCAAGUUCUCAAUUUAGUUGAGUUCUUUUUGUCCAUCAGUUCAGUCAUUUUCAUACUUCUCCGUUCAUUUGCAUCACUGAAAAUACCUACUGAGAACAUAGAGAAAGAAGAGAAGCUACGUUUUGCAUGCACAUUGUGUCAUUGUGAUUGCGUUUUUUUCCCUAUAAUUACCCCUUUUGUGUUAACAUUAGAAACCACACAAACCAAUUUUCCUAUAUCAUCAUCAAUUUAUUGCAAUCAACUACAAUGAUGAGUAUUUGUAGAGGAAAAGACUCGUGGCCGGAGCUGGUGUGGGUUUCAGGUGAACUGGCUAAGCAGGUGAUCGAGGGAGAAAACUUAUUUGUGAUUGCCGUCAUUGUGCGUCCAAACGAACCCAUCUUUCCGGGUUUCAACUGCUUCCGUGCAAGGGGCGGAGCCAGCCCUAUAGCAAGUGGGGCAUUUGCCCCUCCUCACCUCUCCCCCUCCAUUCUAUAUUUAUUACAAAUUUUUAUGUAUAUAUAUAAAAUUAUACCAAAUGCCCCUCCUCAAAAAUAAAAAGUUUACUAUCUAUAUGUAAUUUUGCCCCUCCUGUAUUGAAUUUCUAGAUACGCCCCUGCUUCCGUGUGUGGGUAUUAGUGGACGACUACGGUAAUCUCAUUAAGACUUCCGUGAUCGGCUAAGAUCUACUGCAUAUGUGUGUGUGGGUGAGCGUGCGCGUGUCUCGUAUUUCUAGUGUGUUUUCAGUUUGGACCCAAAUCAGUCUAUUGAUUUUGGAGUACUAUUUCUAUUUCCGUUCAAUGUGUGAAUAAAUGGGACAAUUGUACGUUCACUGAAUACAAAUGUUACAAAUGUUUGUUGUAUUUUAUGUUA